rnacentral:rRNA from 1 species
GAGUGACGAUUUAGUGACUGAGUGGCGGACGGGUGAGUAACGCGUGGGUAACCUGCCUUAUACAGGGGGAUAACAGUUGGAAACGACUGCUAAUACCGCAUAAGCGCACAGUAUUGCAUGAUACAGUGUGAAAAACUCCGGUGGUAUAAGAUGGACCCGCGUCUGAUUAGCUAGUUGGUGAGGUAACGGCCCCCGGCGGG